GGACGACCAGUGGCGAAAGCGUUUAACUAGAACGAAUCUGACGGUAAGGAACGAAGGCUAGGGUAGCAAACCGGAUUAGAUACCCGGGUAGUCCUAGCUGUAAACAUUGCCCAUUUGAUGUUGCUUUUCCGUUGAGGGAAGGCAGUGUCGGAGCGAAGGUGUUAAAUGGGCCGCUUGGGAAGUAUGGUCGCAAGACUGAAACUUAAAGGAAUUGGCGGGGGAGCACCGCAACGGGAGGAAUGUGCGGUUUAAUUGGAUUCAACGCCGGAAAACUCACCGGGAACGACCUGUGCAUGAGAGUCAACCUGACGAGCUUACUCGAUAGCAGGAGAGGUGGUGCAUGGCCGUCGUCAGCUCGUACCGUAGGGCGUUCACUUAAGUGUGAUAACGAGCGAGACCCACAUCUUUAAUUGCAAAUGUAUAUGAGAAUAUGCAUGCACUUUAGAGAAACCGCCAGCGCUAAGCUGGAGGAAGGAGUGGUCGACGGCAGGUCAGUACGCCCCGAAUUUCCCGGGCUACACGCGCAUUACAAAGAACGGGACAAUACGUUGCAACCUCGAAAGAGGAAGCUAAUCGCGAAACCCGUCCAUAGUUAGGAUUGAGGGCUGUAACUCGCCCUCAUGAUCUGGAUUCCGUAGUAAU
rnacentral:rRNA from 1 species